rnacentral:rRNA from 1 species
UUCGGGGUGGAUUAGUGGCGAACGGGUGAGUAACACGUGGGCAAUCUGCCCUGCACUCUGGGACAAGCCCUGGAAACGGGGUCUAAUACCGGAUACUGAUCGCCUUGGGCAUCCUUGGUGAUCGAAAGCUCCGGCGGUGCAGGAUGAGCCCGCGGCCUAUCAGCUUGUUGGUGAGGUAAUGGCUCACCAAGGCGACGACGGGUAGCCGGCCUGAUAGGGCGACCGGCCACACUGGGACUGACACACGGCCCAGACUCCUACGGGAGGCAGCAGCGGGGAAUAUUGCACAAUGGGGGAAAGCCUGAUGCAGCGACGCCGCGUGAGGGAUGACGGCCUUCGGGUUGUAAACCUCUUUCAGCAGGGAAGAAGCGAAAGUGACGGUACCUGCAGAAGAAGCGCCGGCUAACUACGUGCCAGCAGCCGCGGUAAUACGUAGGGCGCGAGCGUUGUCCGGAAUUAUUGGGCGUAAAGAGCUCGUAGGCGGCUUGUCGCGUCGGUUGUGAAAGCCCGGGGCUUAACCCCGGGUCUGCAGUCGAUACGGGCAGGCUAGAGUUCCGUAGGGGAGAUCGGAAUUCCUGGUGUAGCGGUGAAAUGCGCAGAUAUCAGGAGGAACACCGGUGGCGAAGGCGGAUCUCUGGGCCGAUACUGACGCUGAGGAGCGAAAGCGUGGGGAGCGAACAGGAUUAGAUACCCUGGUAGUCCACGCCGUAAACGGUGGGCACUAGGUGUGGGCGACAUUCCACGUCGUCCGUGCCGCAGCUAACGCAUUAAGUGCCCCGCCUGGGGAGUACGGCCGCAAGGCUAAAACUCAAAGGAAUUGACGGGGGCCCGCACAAGCGGCGGAGCAUGUGGCUUAAUUCGACGCAACGCGAAGAACCUUACCAAGGCUUGACAUACACCGGAAACGUCCAGAGAUGGGCGCCCCCUUGUGGUCGGUGUACAGGUGGUGCAUGGCUGUCGUCAGCUCGUGUCGUGAGAUGUUGGGUUAAGUCCCGCAACGAGCGCAACCCUUGUCCCGUGUUGCCAGCAGGCCCUUGUGGUGCUGGGGACUCACGGGAGACCGCCGGGGUCAACUCGGAGGAAGGUGGGGACGACGUCAAGUCAUCAUGCCCCUUAUGUCUUGGGCUGCACACGUGCUACAAUGGCCGGUACAAUGAGCUGCGAUACCGCGAGGUGGAGCGAAUCUCAAAAAGCCGGUCUCAGUUCGGAUUGGGGUCUGCAACUCGACCCCAUGAAGUCGGAGUCGCUAGUAA